rnacentral:rRNA from 1 species
UACGAAGGGGGCUAGCGUUGCUCGGAAUCACUGGGCGUAAAGGGCGCGUAGGCGGACUUUUAAGUCAGGGGUGAAAUCCUGAGGCUCAACCUCAGAACUGCCUUUGAUACUGAGGGUCUCGAGACCGGUAGAGGUAAGUGGAACUGCGAGUGUAGAGGUGAAAUUCGUAGAUAUUCGCAAGAACACCAGUGGCGAAGGCGGCUCACUGGCCCGGAACUGACGCUGAGGCACGAAAGCGUGGGGAGCAAACAGG